CGGAAUCGCUAGUAAUCGCGGAUCAGCAUGCCGCGGUGAAUACGUUCCCGGGCCUUGUACACACCGCCUGUCACACCAUGGGAGUUUGUAACGCCCAAAGUCGGUGGCCUAACCUUUAUGGAGGGAGCCGCCUAAGGCGGGACAGAUGACUGGGGUGAAGUCGUAACAAGGUAAC
rnacentral:rRNA from 1 species